rnacentral:rRNA from 1 species
UACGUAGGGGGCAAGCGUUAUCCGGAAUUACUGGGCGUAAAGCGCACGCAGGCGGUUCGCCAAGUUUGGAGUGACAGUUGUCGGCUCAACCGACAAAGGACUUCAAAAACUGGUGAACUUGAGGACGAGAGAGGAACAUGGAACUCCAGGUGUAGUAGUGAAAUGCGUAGAUAUCUGGAAGAACACCAAUGGCGAAGGCAAUGUUCUGGCUCGUUUCUGACGCUCAGGUGCGAAAGCCAGGGGAGCGAACGGGAUUAGAUACCCCGGUAGUCCUGGCCGUAAACGAUGACCACUAGACGUGGGAGGUAUCGACCCCUUCCGUGUCGUAAGCUAACGCGAUAAGUGGUCCGCCUGAGGAGUACGGUCGCAAGAUUAAA